UACGUAGGGUGCAAGCGUUGUCCGGAAUUAUUGGGCGUAAAGAGCUCGUAGGCGGUUUGUCGCGUCUGCUGUGAAAACCUAAGGCUCAACCUUGGGCUUGCAGUGGGUACGGGCAGACUAGAGUGCGGUAGGGGUGACUGGAAUUCCUGGUGUAGCGGUGGAAUGCGCAGAUAUCAGGAGGAACACCGAUGGCGAAGGCAGGUCACUGGGCCGCAACUGACGCUGAGGAGCGAAAGCAUGGGGAGCAAACGGG
rnacentral:rRNA from 1 species